AUUGAACGCUGGCGGCAUGCUUUACACAUGCAAGUCGAACGGUAACAGGCCGCAAGGUGCUGACGAGUGGCGAACGGGUGAGUAAUGCAUCGGAACGUGCCCAGUCGUGGGGGAUAACGCAGCGAAAGCUGUGCUAAUACCGCAUACGAUCUAUGGAUGAAAGCGGGGGACCGUAAGGCCUCGCGCGAUUGGAGCGGCCGAUGUCAGAUUAGGGAGUUGGUGGGGUAAAGGCUCACCAAGCCAACGAUCGGCAGCGAGUCUGAGAGGACGACCAGCCACAGUGGGAUUGAGACCCGGCCCAGACUCCUACGGGAGGGAGCAGUGGGGAAUUUUGAACGAUGAGGGCAACCCUGCUCCAGCAAUGCCGCGUGCAGGACGAAGGCCUUCUGGUUGUAAUCUGCUUUUGUCAGGGAAGAAAUCCUGUGGGUUAAUACCUCGUGGGGAUGACGGUACCUGAAGAAUAAGCACCGGCUAACUACGUGCCAGCCGCCGCCGUAAGAC
rnacentral:rRNA from 1 species